CCUACGGGUGGCAGCAGUGGGGAAUAUUGCACAAUGGACGCAAGCCUGAUGCAGCGACGCCGCGUGAAUGAAGACUUCUCUCUGUAUUUUAAGCUUUAUUAGUAUGGGAGUAAAUUAUUGUACCUGACUAAUAAUCUCCGUCUAACUUCGUGCCAGCAGGCGCGGUACUACGGAGGCAGCCAGCGUGAUCCGGAUUUACUGGGUGUAAGGGGAGCGUAGUCGGUGCAGCAAGUCAGAUGUGAAAGGUCGCGGCCCAACCGUGAAAUUGCAGUCGAAACUGUCAAACUGGAGUACAGGAGAGGUGAGCGGAAUUCGUGGUGGAGCGGUGAAAUGCGUAGAUAUCACGAAGAACACCGAUGGCGAAGGCAGUUCACUGGACUGCAACUGACACUGAGGCUCGAAAGUGUGGGGAGCAAACAGGAUUAGAUACCCCGGUAGUC
rnacentral:rRNA from 1 species